rnacentral:rRNA from 1 species
GACGAACGCUGGCGGCGUGCUUAACACAUGCAAGUCGAACGGAAAGGCCCUGCUUUUGUGGGUUGCUCGAGUGGCGAACGGGUGAGUAACACGUGAGUAACCUGCCCUUGACUUUGGGAUAACUUCAGGAAACUGGGGCUAAUACCGGAUAGGAGCUCCUGCUGCAUGGUGGGGGUUGGAAAGUUUCGGCGGUUGGGGAUGGACUCGCGGCUUAUCCGCUUGUUUGUGGGGUAGUGGCUUACCAAGGCUUUGACGGGUAGCCGGCCUGAGAGGGUGACCGGCCAUAUUGGGACUGAGAUACGGACCAGAAUCCUACGGGAGGCAGCAGUGGGGAGUAUUGCACAAUGGGCGGAAGCCUGAUGCAGCAACGCCGCGUGCGGGAUGACGGCCUUCGGGUUGUAAACCGCUUUCGCCUGUGACGAAGCGUGAGUGACGGUAAUGGGUAAAGAAGCACCGGCUAACUACGUG